GCAGCAGCUCUGCUGACUCCUCUCCGAACGACAGUAGCACCACCCAUCUCUUUCUCUCUUGACCGACGGACAGCAGGAGUCACAGGCCGCCUCCACCGCCGCCGCCGGUCCUCCCCCUCCUUAUGCCGCCCUCAUAAAACCAGCCGGAGCCCCCCCUCCCCAGACUCACGCGCACACACACAGCCCCAAGUUUGUGUUUUUUUUCAAUUCUUUAAUAACAUUAUUAGAAAUGCAGAAAGCAAACAUAUUAUGCAAGAUGAUGUAUCUCUAUAUGGUGAAUAGAGCAAACCUUAAGAAGGUUUCUACUAUUUGUGUCCGUAGGAAUGGGAUUCCAAGUCUGGAAUUCUGCAGAAAUUCUGCUAUGAUGGGAUUUUGAUGCUAAUUUGCAGAAGUCUGAAUUGUGAUUAUUGAUUUUGUCAUGUCUGUGUAUGGCUUCGUUUAGAGGAUGGAGAUCAUGAGUUGAUGAUUGAGCUUUUAUUUAUGGAGAUUUAUGGAGAUUGUGUGAAUGAUUUUCGUUCUAAGAUCUGUUGAGAUUGUUCGGAGAUUGAAUGUUGAGAUUGUUGAUUCGAAGGAAUUGUUGUAUUUUAAUUGUAGAUUGAAUUGAUUCGAAUAAUAUUUUUGUUGUAUUUUGAUUGUUGAUUUAGAGGAAUUGAUGUAUUUUGAUGGUAGAUUGAGUUGUUGUA